rnacentral:misc_RNA from 1 species
GAAAUGCGAUAAGUAGUGUGAAUUGCAGAAUUCAGUGAAUCAUCGAAUCUUUGAACGCACAUUGCGCCCCUCGGCAUUCCGUGGGGCAGGCCUGUUCGAGCGUCAUCUACACCCUCAAGCUCUGCUUGGUGUUGGGCGUCUGUCCCGCCUCCGCGCGCGGACUCGCCCCAAAUGCAUUGGCAGCGGUUCCUUGCCCCCCUCUUUGCGCAGCACAUUGCCAUUCGAGGCGGCGGCGGCCCGCGUCCAACAAGCUCAACCCCCCCGUCUUUGACCUCGGAUCAGGUAGGGAUACCCGCUGAACUUAAGC